rnacentral:rRNA from 1 species
AGUGAACGCUGGCGGUAGGCCUAACACAUGCAAGUCGAAUGGCAGCACAGUAAGAGCUUGCUCUUACGGGUGGCGAGUGGCGGACGGGUGAGGAAUACAUCGGAAUCUACUUUUUCGUGGGGGAUAACGUAGGGAAACUUACGCUAAUACCGCAUACGACCUACGGGUGAAAGCAGGGGAUCUUCGGACCUUGCGCGAUUGAAUGAGCCGAUGUCGGAUUAGCUAGUUGGCGGGGUAAAGGCCCACCAAGGCGACGAUCCGUAGCUGGUCUGAGAGGAUGAUCAGCCACACUGGAACUGAGACACGGUCCAGACUCCUACGGGAGGCAGCAGUGGGGAAUAUUGGACAAUGGGCGCAAGCCUGAUCCAGCCAUACCGCGUGGGUGAAGAAGGCCUUCGGGUUGUAAAGCCCUUUUGUUGGGAAAGAAAAGCAGUAGGUUAAUACCCCGCUGUUCUGACGGUACCCAAAGAAUAAGCACCGGCUAACUUCGUG